AUUGAACGCUGGCGGCAGGCCUAACACAUGCAAGUCGAGCGGAUGAAGGGAGCUUGCUCCUGGAUUCAGCGGCGGACGGGUGAGUAAUGCCUAGGAAUCUGCCUGGUAGGGGGGGAUAACGUCCGGAAACGGGCGCUAAUACCGCAUACGUCCUGAGGGAGAAAGUGGGGGAUCUUCGGACCUCACGCUAUCAGAUGAGCCUAGGUCGGAUUAGCUAGUUGGUGGGGUAAAGGCCUACCAAGGCGACGAUCCGUAACUGGUCUGAGAGGAUGAUCAGUCACACUGGAACUGAGACACGGUCCAGACUCCUACGGGAGGCAGCAGUGGGGAAUAUUGGACAAUGGGCGAAAGCCUGAUCCAGCCAUGCCGCGUGUGUGAAGAAGGUCUUCGGAUUGUAAAGCACUUUAAGUUGGGAGGAAGGGCAGUAAGUUAAUGCCUUGCUGUUUUGACGUUACCAACAGAAUAAGCACCGGCUAACUUCGUG
rnacentral:rRNA from 1 species